rfam:Corchorus olitorius cultivar O-4 contig20785, whole genome shotgun sequence.
GGUCAUUUGGCCUGAUGGUAGAGUACUGGACUUUUAGUUCCAGUGACUAGGGUUCGAUCCCUAGCAACCU